UACAGAGGGUGCAGGCGUUAAUCGGAAUUACUGGGCGUAAAGGGCGCGUAGGCGGAUAAUUAAGUUAGAUGUGAAAUCCCUGGGCUUAACCUGGGAACUGCAUUUAAUACUGGUUAUCUAGAGUAGAGUAGAGGGAAGUGGAAUUUCCGGUGUAGCGGUGAAAUGCGUAGAUAUCGGAAAGAACAUCAGUGGCGAAGGCGACCCUUUGGUCUGUAACUGACGCUGAGGCGCGAAAGCGUGGGGAGCAAACAGG
rnacentral:rRNA from 1 species